rnacentral:lncRNA from 1 species
UCUCUCUCUGGCUGCCUAUGUCUUUUUUCUAUUUAGCUGUUAUCUGUCUAUCUAUGUCUACCUGUCUGUCUGUGUUUCUAUCUGCCUAUGUCUAUCUGCCUGUUUUCUAUAUUUAUCUGUUUCUGUCUGCCUGUCUGUGUUUCUAUCUAUCCACCUCUAUCUCUCUAUCUUUCUAUUCAUCUAUACUUCUAUCUUUCUAUCAUCUAUGUUUCUAUCAUCUAUCAUAUAUAUCCCUCUAUUGUUCUAGCUAUCCUUCUAUCCAUAUCUAUCCAUCUGUCUUAUCUAUCUCUCUGUCUUUCUAUCUAUCAUCUAUUACAUCUAUCCACCUAUCCUUCUAUCUCUAUAUAUCCAUCUGUCUAUCUUUCUAUCAUCUAUGUUUCUAUCAUCUAUCAUAUCUAUCUGUCUGUCUGUCUGUCUGUCUGUCGUCUGUCUGUCUAUCUAUCUAUCUGUCUGUUUUUCUUUCUAUCUAUCUAUCUAUCUAUCUAUCUAUCUAUCUGUCUGUCUGUCUGUCUGUCUGUCUGUCUAUCUAUCUAUCUGUCUGUUUUUCUUUCUAUCUAUCUGUCUGUCUGUCUGUCGUCUGUCUGUCUAUCUAUCUAUCUAUCUAUCUGUCUGUUUUUCUAUCUCUCUAUCCAUCAUCUGCCAUAUCUAUCCCUCUAGCUAUUAUUCUAGCUAUCCUUCUAUCUCUAUCUAUCCAUCUAUCUUAUUUAUCCCUCUAUCUUUCUAUCAUCUAUCAUAUGUAUUCCUGUAUAUAUCUGUCUGUCUGUCUUUCUAUCUAUCAUCUAUCAUAUCUAUCCCUUUAUCCAUCUAACCAUCUAUCUGUCUAUCUUUCUAUAUGUCAUCUAUCAUAUCUAUCCAUCUAUCCUUCUAUCUCUCUAUCUAUGCAUUUGUCUAUCUUUCUAUCCUGUCAAUCUAUGAUCUAUCAUAUCUAUCUUUCUAUCUAUCUAUCUAUCUAUCUAUCUAUCUAUCUAUCUAUCUAUCUAUCUGUCAUCUGUCUGUCUAUCUAUCUAUCUGUCAUCUGUCUGUCUAUCUAUCUAUCUAUCUAUCUAUCUAUCUAUCUAUCUAUACCACUGUGAAUGUUUUCUAUACAUAUUCCAUAUUGACUUAUCUAGGAACAUGUUGA